rnacentral:rRNA from 1 species
UACGGGGGGGGCAAGCGUUGUUCGGAAUUACUGGGCGUAAAGGGUUCGUAGGUGGCCAACUAAGUCAGACGUGAAAUCCCUCAGCUUAACUGGGGAACUGCGUCUGAUACUGGUUGGCUUGAGUGCAGGAGAGGAACGCGGAAUUCCAGGUGUAGCGGUGAAAUGCGUAGAUAUCUGGAGGAAUACCGGUGGCGAAGGCGGCCUCCUGGACCAUAACUGACGCUGAUCCGCGAAAGCUAGGGGAGCAAACGGG